AGAACAGUAUCUCGCACCCACCUUCCAUUGGGGGUGAUUUUGGAGUUCCAGAUUUCUCAAAAUACAAGGGGGGAGGUUUUGAUCUUCAUUUCUAGGAAGGAGGUUGCUAAAAGAGGUUAGUUUAUGUCCCUAUUGCCUCAAUUUGCUCAUUCUAGUUCAAUUUGAGCCACUUUUUGGAUCUAGGGUUUCACCAUGAGUGAGAGAGAAGAAUUGCUAGCUUCUUGUCUUCAUUUGUUGAUAUGGUUAGAUGGGGUUGUUUAAUAUGGUUGGAUAAUGUCUCUCAACAUGUUUGCUUCUCAAUUUAGCUAGUUUUUACAAGAUUUAACCAAUGGUGUGUUCUUGUAAAUUUAUGUAGAGAGAUAAUUGUUAAUUUUUUUUAAUUAUAUGGUAGUUAGGUUUUUUAUUAUCACCUUCCACAUCAUCUAUCUAUUUAUAAUGAAUGUUGUAUUUAUAUAGUUAUGCUAUACUUAGGUUUUCUAAUUUAUGUCUCUCUCUAUAAAAUUUUCAAUUUAUUUAUCCACAUGUAUGUAUGUUCCAUGAGUGAGAGAGAAGAAUAGCUAGCUUCUUGUCUUUAUUUGUUGAUAUGGUUAGAUGGGGUUGCUUAAUAUGGUUGGAUAAUGCCUCUCAACAUGUUUGCUUCUCAAUUUAGCUAGUUUUUUAAGGAUUAAACCAAUGGUGUGUUCUUGUAUAUUUAUGUAGAGAGAUAAUUGUUGAUUUUUUAUUUUUUAAUUUUAUGGUAGUUAGGUUUUUUAUUAUCACCUUCCACAGAAUCUAACUAUUUAUAAUGAAUGAUGUAUUUAUAUAGUUAUGCUAUACUUAGAUUAUUUUUUAAUUAUGUAACUUAGGUUUUUUCCUUUAAUCUCAAGCUUAACCAUAAACCCUAGCUAAUAAACUCUAGAUAAAUCCUUUGUAAACCCUUAAAUCAUAUGAAUGGUGUUUUACAUGUAGUGAUGGAGAGGUCAUUUUGGAUGUAUAAUUUAUCAAGACUAGAUACAUCAUACAUAACUGAUGUCCAGAGGUUUAUUGAUGCUGCUCAAAACCAUGCUUUA
rnacentral:lncRNA from 1 species